rnacentral:rRNA from 1 species
CCUACGGGUGGCAGCAGUGGGGAAUAUUGCACAAUGGGGGAAACCCUGAUGCAGCGACGCCGCGUGAGUGAGGAAGUACUUCGGUAUGUAAAGCUCUAUCAGCAGGGAAGAAAAUGACGGUACCUGUCUAUGAAGCCCCGGCUAACUACGUGCCAGCAGCCGCGGUCAUACGUAGGGGGCAAGCCUUAUGCGGAUUUACUGGGUGUAAAGGGAGCGUGGAUGGUUAAUCAAGUCAGAAGGGAAAACCCAGGGGUCAACCUGGGGACUGCUUUUGAAACUGAGUAGCUUGAGUGCAGGAGAGGGGAGCGGAAUUCCGGGGGUAGCGGUGAAAUGCGUAGAGAUUAGGAGGAACACC